rnacentral:rRNA from 1 species
CCUACGGGUGGCAGCAGUGGGGAAUAUUGGACAAUGGGGGGAACCCUGAUCCAGCCAUGCCGCGUGUGUGAAGAAGGCCCUCGGGUUGUAAAGCACUUUCAGUGAGGAAGAACGCCUGGUGGUUAAUACCCAUCAGGAAAGACAUCACUCACAGAAGAAGCACCGGCUAACUCCGUGCCAGCAGCCGCGGUAAUACGGAGGGUGCGAGCGUUAAUCGGAAUUACUGGGCGUAAAGCGCGCGUAGGUGGCUUGAUAAGCCGGUUGUGAAAGCCCCGGGCUCAACCUGGGAACGGCAUCCGGAACUGUCAAGCUAGAGUGCAGGAGAGGAAGGUAGAAUUCCCGGUGUAGCGGUGGAAUGCGUAGAGAUCGGGAGGAAUACCAGUGGCGAAGGCGGCCUUCUGGACUGACACUGACACUGAGGUGCGAAAGCGUGGGUAGCAAACAGGAUUAGAUACCCGGGUAGUC